CGUUGGAUUUAGUUAUUUAUUUACAAGCCGAGCACUCCUGGGAAGUUCUGUUUGAACACCUGCUUUCAAUUCUUUGGAAUACAUUGGUUCUCAGAAGUGGGAUGGCUUGGUCAUAAGCCAGGCCCAUGGACACGUGGACCGGUCUGAAAGGUCAACUACGAAAGCCACCCAUGUCGGCCGAUGCUGAAGACAGCUGAAAACCCAAGAGGAUGGACUGAAAACCCUUCACGUCGAAGAACCACACAGGGUGUGGAGAAGGAACAGAGCCCGGCGCCUUCGCAUAGCCCUCAACGAGCAGGCUGAAGGUAUGAUUCAACACGAAGGACGACACAAAGACGCGAGACUCCACUUAGCAAAACACUGCGAAAUCUCCCACACCUGAGGGCCAUGAGAUUCGAUGGCCCCACUGCAGGGGGCAUGGGGUUCUGCAGACAUGGGGUUCUGCAGCCUGGCAUGCUGGGAGGCCCGGACUGGAUUCCCACUGCAACCCAAAGGCCUGCAGGCCCCGGCUUUUUUUUUUUAGUGAUUUUAUGAAU